CAAGUAAUCCCUCCGUCCGAAAUUACUUGUCAUCAAAAUGGAUGUGUCUAGAACUAAAAUACAUCUAGAUACAUCCAUUUCAAUGGCAAGUAUUUCCGGACGGAGGGAGUACAAG
rfam:Triticum aestivum genome assembly, contig: Triticum_aestivum_CS42_TGACv1_scaffold_220772_3B